GUCCUCGUAGUGUAGUGGUUAACACGACUGACUCUGAAUCAGGAAAGCUCGGGUUCGAUUCCCGUUGAGGACA
rnacentral:tRNA from 1 species